UACAUGUGGGGCAAGCGUUGUUCGGAAUCACUGGGCAUAAAGGGUGCGUAGGCGGCUUGUUAAGUCAGGGGUGAAAUCCCACGGCCCAACCGUGGAACUGCCUUUGAAACUGGCGAGCUUGAGUGCGUGAGGGGUAACCGGAACGAGUCGUGUAGCGGUGAAAUGCGUAGAGAUCGGAAGGAACACCAACGGCGAAAGCACUCUGCUGGGCCGACACUGACACUGAGAGACGAAAGCUAGGGGAGCGAAUGGG
rnacentral:rRNA from 1 species